AUUGAACGCUGGCGGCAUGCCUUACACAUGCAAGUCGAACGGCAGCACGGGUGCUUGCACCUGGUGGCGAGUGGCGAACGGGUGAGUAAUACAUCGGCACAUGUCCUGUAGUGGGGGAUAGCCCGGCGAAAGCCGGAUUAAUACCGCAUACGAUCUACGGAUGAAAGCGGGGGACCUUCGGGCCUCGCGCUAUAGGGUUGGCCGAUGGCUGAUUAGCUAGUUGGUGGGGUAAAGGCCUACCAAGGCGACGAUCAGUAGCUGGUCUGAGAGGACGACCAGCCACACUGGGACUGAGACACGGCCCAGACUCCUACGGGAGGCAGCAGUGGGGAAUUUUGGACAAUGGGCGAAAGCCUGAUCCAGCAAUGCCGCGUGUGUGAAGAAGGCCUUCGGGUUGUAAAGCACUUUUGUCCGGAAAGAAAUCCUUGGCCCUAAUACGGUCGGGGGAUGACGGUACCGGAAGAAUAAGCACCGGCUAACUACGU
rnacentral:rRNA from 1 species